rnacentral:rRNA from 2 species
CGGAUCACUGGGCGUAAAGAGCGUGUAGGCGGGUAUAUAAGUCAGAAGUGAAAUCCUAUAGCUUAACUAUAGAACUGCUUUUGAAACUGUAUACCUAGAAUGUGGGAGAGGUAGAUGGAAUUUCUGGUGUAGGGGUAAAAUCCGUAGAGAUCAGAAGGAAUACCGAUUGCGAAGGCGAUCUACUGGAACAUUAUUGACGCUGAGACGCGAAAGCGUGGGGAGCAAACAGGAUUAGAUACCCUGGUAGUCCACGCCCUAAACGAUGUACACUAGUUGUUGUGAGGCUCGACCUUGCAGUAAUGCAGUUAACACAUUAAGUGUACCGCCUGGGGAGUACGGUCGCAAGAUUAAAACUCAAAGAAAU